GAAACCGUGUACGUACAAGCAGUGGGAGCACGCUUAGGCGUGUGACUGCGUACCUUUUGUAUAAUGGGUCAGCGACUUAUAUUCUGUAGCAAGGUUAACCGAAUAGGGGAGCCGAAGGGAAACCGAGUCUUAACUGGGCGUUAAGUUGCAGGGUAUAGACCCGAAACCCGGUGAUCUAGCCAUGGGCAGGUUGAAGGUUGGGUAACACUAACUGGAGGACCGAACCGACUAAUGUUGAAAAAUUAGCGGAUGACUUGUGGCUGGGGGUGAAAGGCCAAUCAAACCGGGAGAUAGCUGGUUCUCCCCGAAAGCUAUUUAGGUAGCGCCUCGUGAAUUCAUCUCCGGGGGUAGAGCACUGUUUCGGCAAGGGGGUCAUCCCGACUUACCAACCCGAUGCAAACUGCGAAUACCGGAGAAUGUUAUCACGGGAGACACACGGCGGGUGCUAACGUCCGUCGUGAAGAGGGAAACAACCCAGACCGCCAGCUAAGGUCCCAAAGUCAUGGUUAAGUGGGAAACGAUGUGGGAAGGCCCAGACAGCCAGGAUGUUGGCUUAGAAGCAGCCAUCAUUUAAAGAAAGCGUAAUAGCUCACUGGUCGAGUCGGCCUGCGCGGAAGAUGUAACGGGGCUAAACCAUGCACCGAAGCUGCGGCAGCGACACUAUGUGUUGUUGGGUAGGGGAGCGUUCUGUAAGCCUGUGAAGGUGUACUGUGAGGUAUGCUGGAGGUAUCAGAAGUGCGAAUGCUGACAUAAGUAACGAUAAAGCGGGUGAAAAGCCCGCUCGCCGGAAGACCAAGGGUUCCUGUCCAACGUUAAUCGGGGCAGGGUGAGUCGACCCCUAAGGCGAGGCCGAAAGGCGUAGUCGAUGGGAAACAGGUUAAUAUUCCUGUACUUGGUGUUACUGCGAAGGGGGGACGGAGAAGGCUAUGUUGGCCGGGCGACGGUUGUCCCGGUUUAAGCGUGUAGGCUGGUUUUCCAGGCAAAUCCGGAAAAUCAAGGCUGAGGCGUGAUGACGAGGCACUACGGUGCUGAAGCAACAAAUGCCCUGCUUCCAGGAAAAGCCUCUAAGCAUCAGGUAACAUCAAAUCGUACCCCAAACCGACACAGGUGGUCAGGUAGAGAAU
rnacentral:rRNA from 1 species